rnacentral:rRNA from 1 species
GAUGAACGCUGGCGGCGUGCCUAAUACAUGCAAGUCGAGCGAACAGAUAAGGAGCUUGCUCCUUUGACGUUAGCGGCGGACGGGUGAGUAACACGUGGGUAACCUACCUAUAAGACUGGAAUAACUCCGGGAAACCGGGGCUAAUGCCGGAUAACAUUUAGAACCGCAUGGUUCUAAAGUGAAAGAUGGUUUUGCUAUCACUUAUAGAUGGACCCGCGCCGUAUUAGCUAGUUGGUAAGGUAACGGCUUACCAAGGCAACGAUACGUAGCCGACCUGAGAGGGUGAUCGGCCACACUGGAACUGAGACACGGUCCAGACUCCUACGGGAGGCAGCAGUAGGGAAUCUUCCGCAAUGGGCGAAAGCCUGACGGAGCAACGCCGCGUGAGUGAUGAAGGUCUUCGGAUCGUAAAACUCUGUUAUUAGGGAAGAACAAAUGUGUAAGUAACUGUGCACGUCUUGACGGUACCUAAUCAGAAAGCCACGGCUAACUAUGUG